rnacentral:rRNA from 1 species
AGCGAACGCUAGCGGCAGGCCUAAAACAUGCAAGUCGAACGCCGUAGCAAUACGGAGUGGCAGACGGGUGAGUAACACGUGGGAACGUGCCCUUUGGUUCGGAACAACACAGGGAAACUUGUGCUAAUACCGGAUAAGCCCUUACGGGGAAAGAUUUAUCGCCAGAGGAUCGGCCCGCGUCUGAUUAGCUAGUUGGUGAGGUAACGGCUCACCAAGGCUACGAUCAGUAGCNGGUCUGAGAGGAUGAUCAGCCACACUGGGACUGAGACACGGCCCAGACUCCUACGGGAGGCAGCAGUAGGGAAUCUUCCGCAAUGGACGAAAGUCUGACGGAGCAACGCCGCGUGAGUGAUGAAGGUUUUCGAUCGUAAACUCUGUUGUUAAGGAAGAACAAGUACCGGAGUAACUGCCGGCACCUUGACGGUACCUAACCAG